GACGAACGCUGGCGGCGUGCCUAAUACAUGCAAGUCGAACGCAGUGGGGACGGGUGAGUAACACGUGGGUAACCUCCCACAGAGGGGACAACACUUGGAAACAGACGCUAAACCGAAACUGACGGAUGGACCCGCGGUGCAUUAGCGUGUUGGUGGGGUAACGGCUUACCAAGGCCACGAUGCAUAGCCGACCUGAGAGGGUGAUCUGCCACACUGGGACUGAGACACGGACCAGACUCCGACGGGAGGCAGCAGUAGGGAAUCUUCGGCAAUGGACGAAAGUCUGACCGAGCAACGCCGCGUGAGUGAAGAAGGUUUUCGGAUCGUAAAACUCUGUUGUUAGAGAAGCGGUAUCUAACCAGAAAGCCACGGCUAACUACGUGCCAGCAGCCGCGGUAAUAC
rnacentral:rRNA from 1 species